rnacentral:rRNA from 1 species
UGCCUUACACAUGCAAGUCGAGCGGCAGCGCGGGGGCAACCCUGGCGGCGAGCGGCGAACGGGUGAGUAAUACAUCGGAACGUGCCCAGUAGUGGGGGAUAACCAGUCGAAAGAUUGGCUAAUACCGCAUACGAUCCACGGAUGAAAGCGGGGGACCGCAAGGCCUCGCGCUAUUGGAGCGGCCGAUGUCGGAUUAGCUUGUUGGCGGGGUAACGGCCCACCAAGGCGACGAUCCGUAGCUGGUCUGAGAGGACGACCAGCCACACUGGAACUGAGACACGGUCCAGACUCCUACGGGAGGCAGCAGUGGGGAAUUUUGGACAAUGGGCGCAAGCCUGAUCCAGCCAUGCCGCGUGAGUGAAGAAGGCCUUCGGGUUGUAAAGCUC